GCAGGAAAAUGACUCUCUGCUGGGCUUUUAACAUUUACAGAAAGGAUACACGGCUGAACAGAGAACACUUCUCUGCUGUGGUUCUCAAGAGAUGGCUCUGAAUUCAACUUCUAAAUCCUUUGGAAUGCCAGGGAACAUCUCUGCGGCUAAUGCGCCACAUAUUCUCAUCUACCGACUGGUGUUUUAACCUCUUUAGCAUGGCCUCUAGAGGAAAAGCGGGAUAUGAUUAGGAAUUCGUUAGCGGGCUUCUAUUUUCAUGCUGAUGACACACUUUCUUCUCCUGGGCUCUUAAUGUUGCUGCCUCUUGACUUUCUCACUGUCUUUUUCUAAACUAGAUCAGCUGUUUACCGCCGCGGAGAAACGUGACAUGAAGUUCAGCGAGUAAAGCAGCUGCAAGCACAAAGGACCGCUAACAGUCGGAGAGAAAAACGCUCAGCUGAAAUCCAGACACAGGCCUCUUUAAACCCAGGACGGGGGAAUCGUCUUGGGAGUAACCAUGGAAAUCUGCCAGAGGAAAGUUUGUCAGAGGCAAAAAUUAGGUCUGAGAUCAGCCCAUCACUUUCAGAUGUGUCAGUCAGUCACCGAGGAGACAGGGUACAGUAGCAGCAAGGCAGUUGGACAGAGGACACAGAGUAUGCAGAUGUUACUUCAGGGAGAAUACACCAGCAUGGAGCAGGAAUAACAGGGCUUCUCGGUUUGAUCCGACUCUUGGUAAGAGCCAGAACCUCAAGGGAGCUAGUUAGCAGAAGAGGGAAGGAAGGAAUUUAGAUUCUAACGGCAGACUGGCAGCUCAGUAACUGAAAACAGAAGGAGGCACAUGUGGGCGCCUUUUGCAUAGUGAUAUAUUUUUGCUCUAAGAUUGUCAGUGGCAGUUUUUUUUUGCUGGACUUGGAUAAUUAGACACAUGUGUCUCGAUCUGAUUAGUCUGGAAACUUAAAAGACUUUUAUUUCAGACCCUACAGAAUCUGAUGCAACGUUAAGAACGAUCGGUGAUCUCCACAUCAGGGAUGAGCCACUGUGUGCAUCUCUACAAUGUUGGAGAUGCCGGUUCCAUCUGGAGUGAUUGUUGGCACUCUUCCUGACUGAAGACACACCAAGACAAACCUUAGGUUCUGUGUUCUGUUGUGAAACCAGACCUAGAGUAGAACACAGGGACCGAGGUGCAGCAUUGACAAAUGAACGCUGGAGGUAAAUCUGAUCGUUAAACACCACAGAGUGUGGACAGAAAAUAGUUGGGCUUAAAAUGUCAUAAAGACAAGGCUUCCGCAGAGGGAAAUGUCACCAGGAGACAGAAUUUUUCAGUAACAGCUGCAGGACUAGGUGAACACAUGGUUCGGUGGUACUGCAAAAAUGAAUGUUUUUUUUUUUGUUUUUUUUUUUGUCACUGUUUCCUCUCAUAAAUCAAAUUUGAGACCUUUAUCUCAGUAUUAUGUGAGCUUAAAAAUGUUGUUUUCUUAUUAUGAGCUCAUAAUGACAUUAAA